rnacentral:rRNA from 1 species
AAAAGUGGAUUAGCGGCGGACGGGUGAGUAACACGUGAGUAACCUGCCUUAGACAUUGGGAUAGCCUCGGGGAACCGGGAUUAAUACCAAAUAAAAUCAUAAUGACACAUGUCAUAACGAUCAAAACUCCGGUGGUCUAAGAUGGACUCGCGUCCCAUUAGCUAGUUGGUAGAGUAAAAGCCUACCAAGGCGACGAUGGGUAGCCGGCCUGAGAGGGUGAACGGCCACAUUGGAACUGAGAAACGGUCCAA